UGCAAGUCGAGCGGUAGAGAGAAGCUUGCUUCUCUUGAGAGCGGCGGACGGGUGAGUAAUGCCUAGGAAUCUGCCUGGUAGUGGGGGAUAACGUCCGGAAACGGACGCUAAUACCGCAUACGUCCUACGGGAGAAAGCAGGGGACCUUCGGGCCUUGCGCUAUCAGAUGAGCCUAGGUCGGAUUAGCUAGUUGGUGGGGUAAUGGCUCACCAAGGCGACGAUCCGUAACUGGUCUGAGAGGAUGAUCAGUCACACUGGAACUGAGACACGGUCCAGACUCCUACGGGAGGCAGCAGUGGGGAAUAUUGGACAAUGGGCGAAAGCCUGAUCCAGCCAUGCCGCGUGUGUGAAGAAGGUCUUCGGAUUGUAAAGCACUUUAAGUUGGGAGGAAGGGCAGUAAAUUAAUACUUUGCUGUUUUGACGUUACCGACAGAAUAAGCACCGGCUAACUCUGUGCCAGCAGCCGCGGUAAUACAGAGGGUGCAAGCGUUAAUCGGAAUUACUGGGCGUAAAGCGCGCGUAGGUGGUUC
rnacentral:rRNA from 1 species